rnacentral:rRNA from 1 species
CAGUAGCCACGGGAAUACAGAGGGUGCGAGCGUUAAUCGGAUUUACUGGGCGUAAAGCGUGCGUAGGCGGCUUCUUAAGUCGGAUGUGAAAUCCCUGAGCUUAACUUAGGAAUUGCAUUUGAUACUGGGAAGCUAGAGUAUGGGAGAGGAUGGUAGAAUUCCAGGUGUAGCGGUGAAAUGCGUAGAGAUCUGGAGGAAUACCGAUGGCGAAGGCAGCCAUCUGGCCUAAUACUGACGCUGAGGUACGAAAGCAUGGGGAGCAAACAGGAUUAGAUACCCGGGUAGUCCCUGUCUCUUAUAC